rnacentral:rRNA from 1 species
CCUACGGGAGGCAGCAGUGAGGAAUAUUGGUCAAUGGCCGGAAGGCUGAACCAGCCAUGCCGCGUGAAGGUCAGUGCCCUAUGGGCGUUAAACUUCUUUUGUGCGGGAGCAAUAAUGGUCACGUGUGGCCAGACGAGAGUACCGUACGCAUAAGCAUCGGCUAACUCCGUGCCAGCAGCCGCGGGAACACGGGGGGUGCAAGCGUUAACCGGAAUUAUUGGGUUUAAGGGGUGCGUAGGCUGUGAGGUAAGUCAGCGGUGAAAUGCCCCCGCUCAACGGGGUGAAGUGCCAUUGAUACUGCCGUGCUGGAAUGCGGAUGCCGUGGGAGGAAUGUGUGGAGUAGCGGUGAAAUGCAU